rnacentral:rRNA from 1 species
AUUGAACGCUGGCGGCAUGCCUUACACAUGCAAGUCGAACGGCAGCACGGGUGCUUGCACCUGGUGGCGAGUGGCGAACGGGUGAGUAAUACAUCGGAACAUGUCCUGUAGUGGGGGAUAGCCCGGCGAAAGCCGGAUUAAUACCGCAUACGAUCUACGGAUGAAAGCGGGGGACCUUCGGGCCUCGCGCUAUAGGGUUGGCCGAUGGCUGAUUAGCUAGUUGGUGGGGUAAAGGCCUACCAAGGCGACGAUCAGUAGCUGGUCUGAGAGGACGACCAGCCACACUGGGACUGAGACACGGCCCAGACUCCUACGGGAGGCAGCAGUGGGGAAUUUUGGACAAUGGGCGAAAGCCUGAUCCAGCAAUGCCGCGUGUGUGAAGAAGGCCUUCGGGUUGUAAAGCACUCUUGUCCGGAAAGAAAUCCUUGGCCCUAAUACGGUCGGGGGAUGACGGUACCGGAAGAAUAAGCACCAGCUAACUACGUG